GGCAGUGUGAUUUAGUGGUUAGAGUGUCAGACUAAGACCUUGGAGACCACGGUUCGAAUCCCCAUGCUACCA